UAGGCUUGACAUUCCCUGGUAAUUUUGUAGGAACACAAAGUGCCGUUUCGGGGAACCAGGAGACAGGUGCUGCAUGGCUGUCGUCAGCUCGUGUCGUGAGAUUGUUGGGUUAAGUCCCGCAACGAGCGCAACCCUUAUCUUUAAUUGCCAGCAUUCAGUUGGGCACUUUAAAGAGACUGCCGGUGUUAAACCGGAGGAAGGUGGGGAUGACGUCAAGUCCUCAUGGCCUUUAUGCUUAGGGCUACACACGUGCUACAAUGGGUGGUACAAAGAGAAGCCAACUCGCGAGAGCGCGCCAAUCUCAAAAAGCCAUCCUCAGUUCGGAUUGGAGUCUGCAACUCGACUUCGUGAAGCUGGAUUCGCUAGUAAUCGCGCAUCAGCUAUGGCGCGGUGAAUACGUUCCCGGGCCUU
rnacentral:rRNA from 1 species